UUUCGUAGGUAACCUGGGGG
rnacentral:rRNA from 1 species